UCACUUUUCUUGGUUUAUUUUAUUUUGUCUUGUUUGUUUUUGUAAAAAAGCUGGUUCACAGCAAAAUGUUUUUCAACUCAUGUGGUAAGUGUUUUGUCUUUUUUCCUAAGUGGUUUGAGCAAGAAUAACCUCACAAAUCAAUAAUGUAUGUGGUUUUCUCAGAAUUGAGCUGUUAAGAAAGUCAAAGAAAUCAAGAUAUGCUGUUCCUAAAACAUAUCUACAUAUAUUUAUACAUUACAUAUUCACCAAAUUUCCUGGUUGAGCAAAAAUGUUGGUUGCGCAUACUUAAAUAUGAAAAUGCCUAUGGCAAAACGCAAUUAUAUGCUUAUUUGAUUCCCUCAUGGAGUCAAUGGAUGAAUUAUCUAAGCAGCAUAUUGAAGAAGUCGCACGAUAGGGAGUCGUCCGAGAGGUCAUUCGUGAUCCUGACGGAGCUUUUGGUGUUGCUGAACGACGACAUUGACAUAGUUCAGCGAAUUAAAAGACAGCGGCUACGCUGGCUAGGUCAUGUUGUCCGAAAGGACGAAAAUACUCCUGCUCUGAAAGUAUUCGACGCAGUACCCGCCGGGAGAAGCGGAGAAAGAAGAAGACUUCCACUCCGUUGGAAGGACAAAGUGGAGAAGGACCUGGCUUCGCUUGGAAUAUCCAAUUGGCGCCACGUAGCGAAGAGAAGAAACGACUGGCGCGCUGUUGUUAACUCGCUAUAAUCGCGUAAGCGGUGUCUACGCCAGUAAAGAAGAAGAAGGCAUAAAUAGAUUCAUACCUCGGUUGAUGAACAAUAUUCCCUAGUUGAUCAUGAUAACAAAACUGUACUUCUACAGAAUCCCUUCUACCAAAAAAAAAACAGUUUUGACAUUUCAACAUUGUAAGGUGAAUUCCCCAGUUGCAAUUUUACAAAUGUUCGCUGUCGAACCUGCACCUUUGUAUUGUUUUAAGUUUUUCUGAUUGAACCUUCUCCUUAUCAAAAUUUCUCUGCUGCUUUCAAAGAAAAUGUAUUAUAGAGAAGGUUCACGGUGUGACGAUUUUCGGAACGUUCCUCUUUUUGAAGAUUUACUUGUCAUGGUUAUAGGAUUUCACCACUAAAAUUUAUUAGCGGAUUUCACUGUUGUUGUCCCCAGCGCACUUGAAAGUAUCAGAAUUGAGUACUAAAUGAAAAAAAUAAUGCUAAUAUACGAAUGAAAAACAGCCAAUGAGGGGAAAGUUAUGCAAGUUAUGACCACAUGACACAUAUGUUCCGCCUCAAGUGAACUCAAGAUUUUAUUCGUGGAUUGUAAGAUGAGCCUUUCCACUUAUCACGUAUAGUCUAUCUUAAGUGGAUUGAAGAUAUACUUCUUAGAAUGUAAGAUUAAUUUUUCUAUCUAGGCUUAAGCGAAAUAUAUUGUGUAUAAGAGCACAAAAUAAAGAAAACUCAGGGCAAUUGCUCACGAGAAUCUGGUGUAUUCAUUAAUUGGCGAUCCUGUCAGGUGAAUAAUUAAAAUUCUCUGGUGGACCAUAAUAAUGAAAAAACAUUAAAUUAAAAUUCUGUGGUAACUAUACAGUUGAGUUCACAAACUAUCGAGGUCUUGAACUGACUAUCGAUAGUGUAUGCCAGACAACCAAACGAUUCAGCUGUAACUGUGCUAAGUGAUUGAAAUAAGUAAUUUUUGCUUAAAAAACGUUAAAUAAAUGUAAAAUUUGAAUUUAUUUCCAUGUUGACAGUGUAAUUUUCAUUUUUGUAUGUGAAGUAAAGAAUUUGAGAAAAUUGUGUUGACAAUUGAAAUACCAUGUUUUACUUAUACAAAAAAUUAGACUUUUAAAUAUAAAUAUUUUGAAAACUAUAAGUCUCAGCCACAUUAUUUAUAUAUAUUCCUUAUCUGGAGAGCCUCUCUCUUUCAGUUCGUACCCCAUUUAUACCAGAAUUCGUUGUCAAACUAUGACCGCCAAAGUAAUCGGAAUUGUGCCUUCGUUAGCAGCAACUUCAACUAUGGACACAUUUCUAACAAAAAUAACAAAAGGUUCAAAGUAGAUAUAGUAGCAUAAUAAGCAUAUCAUGCAACUGUAGCAUAAUAAGCAUAUCAUACCACUGUAAACUGCAAAACCCGCUGACUAAACAAUCUUUGCUUAGUAAAUAAAUUCCUUUAUAAGUGCACACUGAAAUAUGAAACGCGAGUUAAGGAACGUAUUCCUUAUAAUAGUAAAAAACCUCAAAACAACCUUGAGUUGGAACAAUUGAAAUGCACUAUCACUACAACAAACAAUCCUAAACAAACAAGUAUCAAAACAACCUUGAGUUUGAAUACCACAACAACCUUAUCUUAAAACAAAACAAAUGUUUUUAAGCAAACAAUAUAUAUGUAAAUUAACCUAAACAAAUAAUACAAUCUGUAUUUAAACAAACUAUCAACUAGUAAUAAGUAAACAUACUAGUUAGUAUAAAUAGAAAUAAGAAACAUGUAAUAAGUUAGUCUUAAGAGUAUAAAUAAAGAGUCUACAUUUCGGUGAAGCUCAAAAUAUAUUA